UACGUAGGGGGCGAGCGUUGUCCGGAAUUACUGGCGUAAAGGGCGCGCAGGCGGCCGUGUAAGUCCGCUGUGAAAGACCGGGGCUCAACCCCGGGGUGUCAGCGGGGACUGCAGGGCUGGAGUCUCGGAGAGGGGUGCGGAAUACCUGGUGUAGCGGUGGAAUGCGUAGAGAUCAGGUGGAACACCGAUGGCGAAGGCAGCACCCUGGACGAGUACUGACGCUGAGGCGCGAAAGCGUGGGGAGCGAACGGG
rnacentral:rRNA from 1 species